rnacentral:rRNA from 1 species
UGCAGCGACGCCGCGUGAGGGAUGACGGCCUUCGGGUUGUAAACCUCUUUCAGCAGGGACGAAGCGCAAGUGACGGUACCUGCAGAAGAAGCACCGGCUAACUACGUGCCAGCAGCCGCGGUAAGACGUAGGGUGCGAGCGUUGUCCGGAUUUAUUGGGCGUAAAGAGCUCGUAGGCGGCUUGUCGCGUCGACCGUGAAAACUUGGGGCUCAACCCCAAGCCUGCGGUCGAUACGGGCAGGCUAGAGUUCGGUAGGGGAGACUGGAAUUCCUGGUGUAGCGGUGAAAUGCGCAGAUAUCAGGAGGAACACCGGUGGCGAAGGCGGGUCUCUGGGCCGAUACUGACGCUGAGGAGCGAAAGCGUGGGGAGCGAACAGGAUUAGAUACCCUGGUAGUCCACGCUGUAAACGUUGGGCGCUAGGUGUGGGGGGCCUCUCCGGUUCUCUGUGCCGCAGCUAACGCAUUAAGCGCCCCGCCUGGGGAGUACGGCCGCAAGGCUAAAACUCAAAGGAAUUGACGGGGGCCCGCACAAGCGGCGGAGCAUGCGGAUUAAUUCGAUGCAACGCGAAGAACCUUACCUGGGUUUGACAUGGCCGCAAAACUUCCAGAGAUGGGUAGCUCCUUCGGG